rnacentral:rRNA from 1 species
UACAGAGGUCCCAAGCGUUGUUCGGAUUCACUGGGCGUAAAGGGUGCGUAGGUGGUGAGGUAAGUCGGAUGUGAAAUCUCCGGGCUCAACCCGGAAAUGGCAUUGGAAACUACCUUGCUAGAGGGUUUGAGGGGGGAUUGGAAUACUUGGUGUAGCAGUGAAAUGCGUAGAUAUUGGGAGGAACACCAGUGGCGAAGGCGGCUCACUGGACCGGUUCUGACGCUGAGGCGCGAAAGCGUGGGGAGCAAACGGG